CUCAAACCAAAACCUUCCGCGCAAAUCAGAGGUAUCACUCACUAUCACAGCAGCAAGCAUCUCUUCCCCAUCUUCUCUGGUUGCUUCUUCCAAACUGAAGCAUCCACUAAUUGACGUUACUGACGAAGAGAAAUUUGCUCAUUCUCGAUUACAAAGUCACCAAAGUAUCCACCCCUUCACCUUCCCGAAGUUGGCUCAUUUACUCGUACGACAUCGUUUUUUAACCUCCCAUCACUCGUUCAAGUCGUUGCCUCGUGGAUCUCUUCUUCCUCACUGGAAAAAGUUGCGGAAUGUUUGUAGUCACUGGUGUUGGAUCUUCACUUGCUGUUCUCUUAGCUACUACUUCUCAAUUUCCAGGAAAGGCGCAAUCCAUUGCAUUGUUUAUGUGUGGGUUUGGAUCACAAUGAUAAUGAAGAGAGUGAAAGAAUCAUUAGCAGCUUUGAUGAAACUAAAGUUAAGUUGUUCAGAUAACUGAAGAGGAAGAACUGGCAGAUGAGUUGUGUACUAGACGAGAGUAUGCUAGAUGGCUAGUUCGUUCAAACAUUUUUAUUAGAGAGGUAAUGAAUGCUACUUCUGCAGAUCCUGACUUCGAGUACAUACAAGCUUUGGCAGAGGCAGGCAUAACGUUAUCGGGGGAAGAUACUAACAUUAAUUUUUAUCCUGAGAGAGAGGUAUAUAAAGAGGAUAUAAGCUUAUUACUUCAUCUGCUAUUGUUUUUGUUUCUUUUUUUCAUUGAUGUCUUAUUGUUUCAACAUUUAUGGUUCCUCCAGUUUUGUUACCCGGCUCCGAUUUGAUUAACUGGAAAGCUCAAUUGUAUUGUAAUUCAGUCCUGGUUUUAAAAUUUGAAACAAACCAAUCUUUGGUUUCAAAAGAGUAAUAAAGUUAGAGAAUAAUCACACUACAGAAUCCAUUUUGAUACUAUUCCCACUCACAAAAUGUCUCCCAAAAUUCAAAAUUUGAAGAGCGAUUUACAGAACAUAAACCGUUAAAUGGAAUGGAAUCUUCACGACAUUGUCAACUAUCAAAAGCCCACCAGUCGACAUUAUCAGCAACCAAAGGGACAGAUCUAUUCUUCUUCUUCUUCUUUGUCUUCCUUCCCUAAUCUGAAACCUG